UCGGGGGCAGGCUUACCUUGGGUGGCUCCCGGUCAGCGACACAGUGGGGGUUCUAAGGCAGGCUUCCUGUCUCUCCUGGCACUGCGGCCGUGCUGCGCUGCGGAACGGGCCAGCAGCAGGUCCGGCUCCUAGGCGGAGGCACGCAAGCAGCUCCGUGUGGCUCUCACCCAUAGGCACUGCCCCCCACCAGCUCCCAUUGGCCAGGAACCGGCCAAUGGGAGUGUGGAGCUGGUGCUUGGGGUGGAGACAGCGCAUGGAGCCCUACGGCCCCCUGGGCCUAGGAGCCGGACCUGCUGCUGGCUGCUUCCGGGGCACAGCACGGUGUCAGAAAAGGUAGGGACUUGCCUGCCUUAGUCAGGCAGCACCACCACCGAGACUUUCAAUGGCCCGGUCGGCAGUGCUGACCAGAGCCACUGUGACCCAGUGCCUUACAUUCCAUGACCCAGUACUGGGUCUCGACUCACAGUUUGAAUACCACUGCUUUACAGUAAGUGUUAGAUUUUUGUUUUCCAGGUUAUUAGAAUAAGUUUCUUUCAUAAUGGAAGGUCCCCUUGCUCUCAAGUCAGUUGACCUUCUAGAUGAGAGACAUACAUGCCAGACAAUAAUGGCUGUAGACAAGCAGACUGUAUAGCACUGAAAAGUUCAAUAUGACUAUUGGCAUGGGUCAGCUUCCCUGUCAGGGAAUGCUGGGAAGCCAGCCUUCCUGGCUCCAAGAGUUACAAAAGUCCUGGAAGACAGACAUUUUAUGAAACUUCUGAGACCUGAACUAGAAUUUUGCUUUACAGGAGAUGAGUCAGGAAAUCCCAAUGGACCGUCCAUUGUCCAAACUGAGGAAACAGAAUUUCCAUCUGAAUAAAGAAGCUGGGGAGGAACUUAUAGAAGAGAGACUAUAGUGUAGGUGUUAGUUUGACAAAAUUUGGUAUGGGCAGGGUGGAGAAGUCCUAUAUUUUAUUUCCUAAUUAGAAGGGAAAUUAACUGUUGAAGAUGCAACACGUUUGAGCGGCAAUUACUUGUAGUGCCCCUAGCAAUAGUGACUGGUAUGUAGCAAAAUGGAACACUGAAUAAGGGGAACAUAAAAGUGCCUUCAAGUCAUGUUUACCCUCCCUCGCUAGUCCUGCACCAAGCACAGCUUGGCUGGAGCAAAGAAUCAGGCCCCAUGUACCUUGAACAGCAUUUAGAUGCCUCCCUUCCCUUUGCCUCUAAUAGGGCUAUGGGAUAGGCCUACAAUUGAUAAAUAAACCACACAAAUAUGAACAAACUUUUAGCUUCAUGGAGUUGAACAUGGGGAACUUUAAACAAAAGAAAGCAUUCUUUCCUCACCUAGAGUUUGCGUUUAAAUUCUUAAAUACUUUCAUACCCCCAUUUCUGAAGGGCCUCUGGAAAGUGAAUCUGCCAUGUGUUUCCAAACUUUAGACACUUUCUCUGCUGACGGCUAAACUUUAAAGUACGUAAUCUUUGGGUAUUCCUCAUAACAGCCCCUAGAAAUGUCAGCUUCUAAGAUUCACUAUUUUUCUUGUUUUACAUUGGUUACUUUUUGCCUUCUUUCAGAGUAGGAGCCGUGUUAGUCUGUAUCCGCAAAAAGAAAAGGAGUACUUGCAUGCAUCCGAUGAAGUGAGCUUUAGCUCACGAAAGUUAACAUCAAAUAAAUUUGUUAGUCUCUAAGGUGCCACAAGUACUCCUUUUUUUUUUGCCUUCUGUAUCUAUUGUUCUAAAUGAGCUAACUUGUUGCUAUUGUAUGCUUUUAUAAAUGUAUGUUUCCACUGUACAUUGUACAUUUGACAGUUAGGAAUCAACUAUAUUGCAGGCCAUGACAGGACCUAACCAUUCCAUCUAUCAGUGAAUGGGAUGUAGGCAGUUGUGCAUAGUGCUUGAAGCAGGAGUUAGGCCUACUGGUUAGAGCAGGAGUCAAUAGCCAGGGUCAGAACCAUAGGCUGAGGCCAGAUGCCAGAGCCAAAGGCCAAAGCCAAAGUCAGAAAUUGGUGCCAAAUGUCAGAACCAGGUUACCUGGAGGCAAGGCAGGAGCAGGAUUGGGUCUGAGGCACGUGCUAUCAUAGCGAUGGGCAAAUGCUCUGAGCAGCCGCCAAAUCGCUGGGCUUAAGAGCUGGUCUGUGGACUCUUCCCAAUAAUCAGGCAGUCUACUACAGGCCAGCUGCACUCAUUAGGUUGCCCAGAGACUGGCUCUGCUGCAGGCCCAGAUUCUUGACACCAUCAUGUAACACACUAUAUGGUUUUAUCGUUCUACCUUUUUUCAACAAUAGUUAUAUUUGCACUCUCAUGAUACAUCACUCUGAUACAAUGUAUUGGUUAACAUUUACUUUAUCUGAACAAUCUGAUGUUACUACUCGGUCUAUCCGCCUAACAAUCCAUAUGUAAUGAAUAAUAUCUCUCUAGGCUACCAACAUUAGACAUAGGGAAAAGGGGUUAAGGCUUCCUUGGCAAUCUUUUCGUAAUGUUUCUUUCUAGAAAACAGAUUAUGAGUGAAAUUCAGCCCUGCGUAAUGCGGAUCUAAAUCUAUUCAAAUUAAGGUUGUGAUGCCCACUUACACCAGCACUGAAUGUGAUUUAGAAAAGAACUGUAACAUGAUGGAGUCUGGAUUUAUAAUGCAAAUUCAUAUUGAGAUAGAGAAUAUGCAAAAUAUGUAAAAACAAAAAAUAAUUGAAAACUAGGGGCUCAAUCUUGCAAAGCCUUACUUGAGUAAGUGCUACUAAUGUAACAUGAAGGCUUGCAGGAUGGCACCAUAUAUUAUUUUAUGAAUGAGAUAUAUCCCCAGGUUGCUUUCUUUUGCAUGUAUGUAACAUAUAAUUUAAUCUAAUGAUGUUUUAAUUUGCUUGGGCACAUUUUGUGCACAUUCAAUAGCCUCGUUAACUAUAAAGGCCCCAAUUCAGCAUAGGACUUAUUAGGAUUUAAGAAAGUGCUUAGAUGCUUUGCUAAAUCAGGGCCAAAGGAUUUCUUCAGGCUGAAAAGUAUUAUUCAGCUGAACUUAAAACAUUCUAUCCUCCAGUAAAAUAAUUCCAGUGCCUCUUCACUUAUCAAGGGGUUGCUUAGUUAAACGACCCUUGGCUCCAAAUCCUGACUUUCAGUUUUGUGGAACUUGCUUGUUGCAUUUGCAUUAUUUAGUAAUUUUGACAUAAUAUUUUAAAAAUAUAUUUAUAUGUUUAAACCAAAAAGUUUUUUAAAAUGACAGUCAUUACAAUAUUACUGCUUUUUAGGUGUUGUAAAAAUUACCCGCUUGAAUGAGUAAAAGUGUAGACAUUGUUAAAAGAAUUGUUGCUAACAUGAAUAUUAUCAGUAUUUCAAUUUGUGCUUAUCAUAAUGUAAGAUACUGGCUUAGGACUGAAAUCACCUUUCAAUCAGAAAAGCAAACCAAAUCAUAUCAAAGCAUGCAUAUAUUGUAAGAAGCUGAAUCUCUGGCAAAUAGAAAUGCUAAAGUUAUUUCAUAAAAAUCACCAAUCUUUAAUUCUUUUUCUUUUACGCUUCUCAGAAAAGAGUCUUAUUUUAUUGUAAGUAGUUUAACAUGGGCUGCCUGCUGACAGUAAUGUAUUUCUGCUAAGCAUAUUACAACUAAAGAAUAAACUAAAGUUGCACACAGCUAAAGUGUUUGUACAUUUCAAUCAGUGGUACUUAUUCAAAAGAAUACAGGCUCGAUGCAAUGGAUGAUUUUUGGCUCUGCAGCAGAUGCUCUAUUCAGCAGAAAGGUAAACUAUUUCAUGGAAGUCAUUUUCUUUGUCAAUAUGGACAGUAUUGGCCUGAAUUUUUAACAUACUGGGCUGAUCCUGUCAUUUUUAUGCAACUUAGACUGCCAUUGAAUGUAAUUGGAAUCUUAUGUGCAUAAGGACUACAAGAUCAGCCCUAGUGUAAGGCACAACCAAGCGUAACCUCUCUGCAAACUCAAGAAUGGCCAUUUAGAUUUGCCCAAAGGCAUUUUCCUUUAAAAUAUAUUCUGAAUUCUCUGUCUGAUUACUAAAGGGUGAAAUCCUGUGGCCCCAUUGAAGUAAAUGGCAAAAUUCCCAUUCACUUCACUGGAGCCAGAAUUUCACACUGUAUUUUUACUAACUGUCACAUUCAGAGCACUAAUAAUCAACUCUUAAGAGCUGGGAACCCCCUUUUAUCAAUGAAUGGAGUCACAGCCAGCCACCAAAUAAUCAUGGUGCAACAUCUUAACAUUGUUUUGUAGUAUUUGCCUCAUGAUGCUGGUUUGAUCUCAUCACACCUCAUCACACAUUGAUGCAAAGCAUUGAUGCAAACGUUGUAAGAUAUGUGGCUCUCUGAAACUCCCUUCAAUAAAACAUAAAAAUCUCCUCUCUCUCUUCACUGCACCUUUGGCUGCUGUCAGCUAACCAGGAGAUUGAAAUGCAAAAGUUAGCACACAAAGACAUCUGAUCUCUUCUGGGGAGCUUUAGAAUAUAGCUGAGAACAGACAACUGCAUGGAAAUUAAUCAGACGAAAUACAAAAAGGAACGUCACAAUUUUCUGAAGCAGCAUGUGACAGCUGAAAAACCAGUUGUGUUUUGGCUUUCAUCUCCUUGAAAAGCAUGCUACACAUCAUACAAUGUUGUAAUCCUAACAGCAAAAUACUGUAAUACAUAUCAGUCAGGUGGUCAAUGCUAGGCUGUAUUUAAUUUUUUAAAACAGAAUAGUCAUAUAUGAUUAAAAAUGGGGACAAACAU